CUCAAAAACUCCAGAAGCUUCAGAUGUCACAUGGAAAAUACCAAUUAGGAAGCCCUGGAGAAGACUGGAACUGAAGCAAAGAGCUAGUGUGCACUGCUCUAUCUUCGUUAUGAGUCAUAUCCCUUAACAUUAUUUUCGUCAUUCUUUGUCUAUUUAAACCUCGUUUUUAAUCCAUGUGAUUUAAAACAAGUUAUCUUCACUGAUUUGACAGUUACAGGUUUAUAGACCUAUUGAGCAGACAUUAG